rnacentral:rRNA from 1 species
GGUGAACGCUGGCGGCGUGCCUAGUACAUGCAAGUCGAGCGAACGGACGAGAAGCUUGCUUUUCUGAUGUUAGCGGCGGACGGGUGAGUAACACGUGGAUAACCUACCUAUAAGACUGGGAUAACUUCGGGAAACCGGAGCUAAUACCGGAUAAUAUUUUGAACCGCAUGGUUCAAAAGUGAAAGACGGUCUUGCUGUCACUUAUAGAUGGAUCCGCGCUGCAUUAGCUAGUUGGUAAGGUAACGGCUUACCAAGGCAACGAUGCAUAGCCGACCUGAGAGGGUGAUCGGCCACACUGGAACUGAGACACGGUCCAGACUCCUACGGGAGGCAGCAGUAGGGAAUCUUCCGCAAUGGGCGAAAGCCUGACGGAGCAACGCCGCGUGAGUGAUGAAGGUCUUCGGAUCGUAAAACUCUGUUAUUAGGGAAGAACAUAUGUGUAAGUAACUGUGCACAUCUUGACGGUACCUAAUCAGAAAGCCACGGCUAACUACGUG